rnacentral:precursor_RNA from 1 species
GAUUCCGCAACCUUGUAUCUCAAGCCUACAACGGUAUACGAACUCUCUUCUUACAAUUUUCAUUUUUCAAAAGGUAAGUUUCAAAGAAUUUUGACCUAAUCAUGCAAAACCAAAAAAGAAGAAGAAGUCACCUACCUGUUUUUUUUUUGGCUUUCUUCUUCAUUGGAUUUUGAGAUCGAAUUUCCAAUUAAAAAUUAGCUUAUG